GAUGAACGCUGGCGGCGUGCCUAAUACAUGCAAGUCGAGCGAACAGACGAGGAGCUUGCUCCUUUGACGUUAGCGGCGGACGGGUGAGUAACACGUGGAUAACCUACCUAUAAGACUGGGAUAACUUCGGGAAACCGGAGCUAAUACCGGAUAACAUGUUGAACCGCAUGGUUCAACAGUGAAAGACGGUCUUGCUGUCACUUAUAGAUGGAUCCGCGCCGCAUUAGCUAGUUGGUAAGGUAACGGCUUACCAAGGCAACGAUGCGUAGCCGACCUGAGAGGGUGAUCGGCCACACUGGAACUGAGACACGGUCCAGACUCCUACGGGAGGCAGCAGUAGGGAAUCUUCCGCAAUGGGCGAAAGCCUGACGGAGCAACGCCGCGUGAGUGAAGAAGGUCUUCGGAUCGUAAAACUCUGUUAUUAGGGAAGAACAAAUGUGUAAGUAACUAUGCACGUCUUGACGGUACCUAAUCAGAAAGCCACGACUAACUACGUG
rnacentral:rRNA from 1 species